GACGUAGGGCGCAAGCGUUGUCCGGAUUUAUUGGGCGUAAAGAGCUCGUAGGCGGCUUGUUGCGUCGUCCGUGAAAACCCGUGGCUCAACUGCGGGCUUGCGGUCGAUACGGGCAGGCUGGAGUUCGGUAGGGGAGACUGGAAUUCCUGGUGUAGCGGUGAAAUGCGCAGAUAUCAGGAGGAACACCGGUGGCGAAGGCGGGUCUCUGGGCAGUAACUGACGCUGAGGAGCGAAAGCGUGGGGAGCGAACAGG
rnacentral:rRNA from 1 species